rnacentral:rRNA from 1 species
UACGGAGGGGACUAGCGUUGCUCGGAAUUACUGGGCGUAAAGGGCGCGUAGGCGGCACUGUUAGUCAGGCGUGAAAGUCCUGGGCUCAACCUGGGAACUGCGCUUGAUACGGCAGAGCUAGAGGAUGGAAGAGGCUCGCGGAAUUCCCAGUGUAGAGGUGAAAUUCGUAGAUAUUGGGAAGAACACCGGUGGCGAAGGCGGCGAGCUGGUCCAUUACUGACGCUGAGGCGCGACAGCGUGGGGAGCAAACAGG